AAGUAUGUCAAGUAACAGUGAGAUGUGCACUUUUUUGGUGGUGCAAACAAGUAAAUAAAAUUUUAAAUGGUGAUGAUGCAAAAUUUUCCAAGUUUUUAGCAGAAAAUCCAAACAGCCAUUACAUUGACCCAAUAAAAUUACAGGCCUAUGAAAAGUUCAAGAUGUCUCAAAAAUUUAGAAAGCAAAAUUCUUGAAUGGUACAAAUGGUAUAAUAGGCGGCAUGGUACAAAUAAACUGAUUUCGAGAGUGGAUAGGAGCGAUUCUCCUAACGGUCGACGUGGAUAAACUCUUUUCGCUAUUCUCGAAACGGAAAGUAACAAGAAAAUUUAAACGAUGGAACAAUGCAGUUAACAAACUCAGUUAAAUGAAUUGAAGAUAUUGAGCGCAAUUUUAAUUAAAAAAUGGACAAUACUCAUACCUAGGUAGAAAUGGAUAGAAUAAGAAUAAUAAAAAUACAUUAAAUCAAACUUGUCAAUAAACAAACUUCAGUGGCUUUAGUUGGGACAAAAAUGUGAAAACUGCCAGCAGCACAGUCACAAGUCGAGAUGCACAACCACGAUAAACCAUUCAGACGAAUUACGUUUAACUUGAAAUGUGGCCCAACUGAUGUCAUUAAUUUUAUCAACGGAGAAAUAGUUGCGAAAAUGCCGACAAGCAUCAACUACAAAUCCGCACAGAAGAGCCGACGCUAAACAUACAUCACAUGAUAUACGUUUUCAUCUGGUACUGAGUCGAGGAGAUGCUUCUAAAAGUUACUACAUCAAUUGAACUGUUACAGCCGGUAAAACAGAAUGCCAGAGUCCAAUGACGAAUCGCGCUAAAAAAGGAAAUCAUUCUAAUGUUAACCAACCAAUCAUUUUAAUGUUAAAAUUAUGAAAACGUGAGUAGCAAUUACAAAUUAACACUAGAUCUGAAGGGCCUAUUUGGAAAACUGUGACAAGCCACACCUCACAAGCAAAGACGUUAAAACAUGAUUUAGUUCAUCUGUUCAUCGUUCAACUAUGUAAAAUAUUCAUUUGAUAUAGUUUUUUGAAUCUUUAAAGCUCGUUUUCUUAAUAUAAUGAUCUGUAGCUUGUCGCUUUUUCCAAUAACCCCUUGCAUUACAAAUACACUUUUUAAACGUAAGGAUACACAAAUUUACUAGAGAAGUAAAACGUGGUAAAACGUCGAGGGAAAAGCUCUGGUAUGUUAGUAGAAAAUAAAACAGCAAAAUGUCAAAAAAUAAUGUAUGUUAUGACAAUGGUAAGAGUUACCGAUACUAUAAUUUUAUAUAAUUUAUAUUUGAAACUUUUAUUGCAUAAUUUACUAAUAUAAUGUUUUUGGCCCCCUCGUCACAGAAUAGCAUAGGAUUUUCUCUUACAGCUUGAGCCUAAGUGUGUCGUAGGAUACCCUCUAGGUGAUAGCUCUUGAUUACCUUUUGAUAAAGAAUUCGUUCUUUAUUGUGAAAUAAGAGCACUCUUUAUCAAUCUGUAA